GUUUCCUAUCAAACAUUGUUGAUCAACCAUGUUCAUUUUGAUAUGUUGGAGAUAAUCUAGACUGUCCAUCUGAUUGGUUAUCAUAGAUGGCUAAUGGUGCAAAAUAAACCAUAUGAGCAAUCAAACAAAUGGAAUUGCCCACAAAUAAAGGACGUAACCUUCGAAAGGUCAACCAAUUCAACAUUUAGGGCCUGUUUGGAUACCACCAAAUAAGUUACUUUUUCUACUUGCAGCAAUAGAUAAUAACUUAUUUCAGAUAAGUUUGGUUUAUGAUUAGUUAUAAGUAACUUUUUUACUU